UUCUAUGCUGGCAGCGGCGACACCUGUGGGUGUCGUUCCCUUCUUGAAGGCGCUAUCAUGGCCAUUAUCUGAGCCCUUCUUCGAGCAUCAGGGGAAACCCUAGGUCUGAUCUUUCGAAUAAGACGACGAUGGCGUCUCGACGUCGCACUCCUUCGUGAAUGCGCCUUCUUGGUUGCUAGCGGUGUCCUCGGGCCUGGAUCGGAUGAUGUUGGUUGUCUUGGUGUUGGUCUGAUCUACUUUUUAGAAUGGCGAGUUUAGUUGUGGUUUUACCUUGUUUGGGCAAAGCAUCUCAUAUUUCUGUGCUCUUGGUCCACACCUCUUAGCGUUUGUGUCAUGUAUUGUAUCUUACUUUAUAC
rnacentral:lncRNA from 1 species